rnacentral:misc_RNA from 1 species
AAGAAGGUUCAUGUCCCAGCCAAUGGUCCAAACAGAGGUCCUAUGCUCCAUCACAAAGGUAACAGCAAUGGAUUGUAGUGUGCCCAUAAAGCAGACAAGGGAUGUGAGUGAGAGCUGAGCUGCAUACCUCUUAAGCGUCACUGCCUGGAGAAUGAAGAAUGAGGCCCAAGCAAGAGUGGCAAUGAUGAGAAGAAUUGAACCCUUAAGCCAGUCUUUGUCAGUAGAUCCAGUGGUGACAGGAGCAGAGGAUGUAUCAGUGUGGACAUGAUCAGACCAAAUCAAAUUGAUAACAUGACCUUUGUACAGAGUCAUGAGCAUAGCUCCAGCCACUGUCACGAUAGUUCCAAUCACCUUUGCCUGGCAUCUCACUUUCUUUAAGUCCACUUUCUCCAUUCGGCAAAGAACGGCCAUAACGAAUGUCAUUGCUGGUAACAUGUUGCUCAUGGCACAAGAGAAGGUAGGCGACGUGAAUUUUAGCCCGGCGUAGUAAAAGUUUUGAUCAAUCACAGGCCCAAGAAGACCCAAUACGAAAAUUUGCAUGAAAAUGGGAAAUGUAAUCUUUGGCCUCACUUUCCUUUCAAGAACAAUAGCGAAAGGAGCAAUAGCAGCUGUGGCAAAGGCGUGCCUGUAGACGACAAGCACGUAAUGACUCAUCCCACGGUUGAGGGAAACCUUAGUAAUGAUAUUCAUGCCAGCAUAGCCAAAUUGCAGAGAUAUCAUUGCUAUGUAAGGCUUACACCUUUGAAUGAAACUACCAAAACAUCCAUUCCCCUCCAUUUUUUUUUUAUUUUCUGUAUUGUAAAUUCAGGGUCUUGUAGUUAGUAAGAGAAAGAGAGAG